UUAACGGCCGCGUAAGUGCUAAGGUAGCAUAAUAAUUUGUCUUUUUAUUAAAGACUAGAAUGAAUGGUUUAACGAAGCUUAACUGUCUCUAAAUAUAUAAAUAAACUUUAUUUUAAGAUGAAAAAUUCUUAUUUUUGAUGGUGGACGAGAAGACCCUAUAGAGUUUUAGUAUUAUAAUACUUUUAUUGGGGCAAUACAAGAAGUGAAUAAAUCUUGAUAGAAUAUAACCUUAAAAAGUUAAUAAAAUAAACUACCUUAGGGAUAACAGCGUAAUUUAAUCUGAGAGAUCUAAUCGAAGAUUAAGUUUGCGACCUCGAUGUUGGACUAAGGUAAUUUUUAUAUGCAGAAGUAUAAAAAAAUAAGCCUGUUCGGCUUUUAAAUCCUUACGUGAUCUGAGUUCAGACCGGUAUCAACAAUAGGGUU
rnacentral:rRNA from 1 species